GCUUAAAAUCCGUCGACUUUAGAAAC
rnacentral:tRNA from 1 species